GACGAACGCUGGCGGCGUGCUUAACACAUGCAAGUCGAACGGAAGGGCCCUGCUUGCAGGGUACUCGAGUGGCGAACGGGUGAGUAACACGUGGGUGAUCUGCCCUGCACUUCGGGAUAAGCCUGGGAAACUGGGUCUAAUACCGGAUAGGAGCCAUUUUUAGUGUGAUGGUUGGAAAGUUUUUUCGGUGUAGGAUGAGCUCGCGGCCUAUCAGCUUGUUGGUGGGGUAAUGGCCUACCAAGGCGGCGACGGGUAGCCGGCCUGAGAGGGUGGACGGCCACAUUGGGACUGAGAUACGGCCCAGACUCCUACGGGAGGCAGCAGUGGGGAAUAUUGCACAAUGGGCGCAAGCCUGAUGCAGCGACGCCGCGUGGGGGAUGACGGCCUUCGGGUUGUAAACUCCUUUCGCUAGGGACGAAGCUUUUUGUGACGGUACCUAGAUAAGAAGCACCGGCUAACUACGU
rnacentral:rRNA from 1 species